GGAGCCAUGUAGCUCAGUGGGAGAGCAUCUGCUUUGCAUGCAGGAGGUGCCAGGUUCGAUCCGCAAUGGCAUCUCCA